AAGAUCCCUGAAAGAUGAUCAGGUUGAUAGGUCUGAGGUGGAAGUGUGGCGACACAUGGAGCUGACAGAUACUAAUCGAUCGAGGACUUAACCUA
rnacentral:rRNA from 1 species